GAUGAACGCUGGCGGUAUGCCUAACACAUGCAAGUCGUACGAGAGUUUUUAACUCUAGUGGCGGACGGGUGAGUAACACGUGAGAAUUUGCCUUUAGGAGGGGGACAACAAUCGGAAACGAAUGCUAAUACCCCAUAUGCUUUCGAGUGAAAUGGAUUUUAUCCGCCUAGAGAGAAGCUCGCGGCUGAUUAGCUUGUUGGUAAGGUAAGAGCUUACCAAGGCGACGAUCGAGUAUCUGGUUUGAGAGGACGAUCAGCCACACUGGAACUGAGACACGGUCCAGACUCCUACGGGAGGCAGCAGUGAGGAAUUUUUCUGCAAUGGGCGAAAGCCUGACAGAGCAAUACCGCGUGAGGGAUGAAGACUUACUGAGUUGUGAACCUCGGUGCCUUAAGGAAGAAGAUCUGACGGUACUUAAGGUGGAAAGCAUCGGCUAACUCCGUGCCAGCAGCCGCGGUAAAGUGACUACUG
rnacentral:rRNA from 1 species